GCCAGACUCCUACGGGAGGCAGCAGUGGGGAAUAUUGCACAAUGGGGGGAACCCUGAUGCAGCGACGCCGCGUGGGUGAAGGAGCGUUUCGGCGCGUAAAGCCCUAUCGGCAGGGAAGAAGGAGGACGGUACCUGACUAAGAAGCCCCGGCUAACUACGUGCCAGCAGCCGCGGUAAUACGUAGGGGGCAAGCGUUAUCCGGAUUUACUGGGUGUAAAGGGGGCGCAGACGGCAGUGCAAGCCAGGAGUGAAAGCCCGGGGCCCAACCCCGGGACUGCUCUUGGAACUGCGCGGCUGGAGUGCAGGAGGGGCAGGCGGAAUUCCCGGUGUAGCGGUGAAAUGCGUAGAUAUCAGGAGGAACACCGGCGGCGAAGGCGGCCUGCUGGACCGCGACUGACGUUGAGGCUCGAAAGUGUGGGGAGCAAACAGGAUUAGAUACCCCUGUAUU
rnacentral:rRNA from 1 species